rnacentral:rRNA from 1 species
UACGUAGGGUGCAAGCGUUGUCCGGAAUCAUUGGGCGUAAAGCGCGUGUAGGCGGUCCGGUAAGUCCGCUGUGAAAGUCGAGGGCUCAACCUCGAAUGCCGGUGGAUACUGUCGGGCUUGAGUACGGGAGAGGCGAGUGGAAUUCCUGGUGUAGCGGUGAAAUGCGCAGAUAUCAGGAGGAACACCGAUUGCGAAGGCAGCUCGCUGGAACGUUACUGACGCUGAGACGCGAAAGCGUGGGGAGCAAACAGG